rnacentral:rRNA from 1 species
AUUGAACGCUGGCGGCAUGCUUUACACAUGCAAGUCGAACGGUAACAGGCCUUCGGGUGCUGACGAGUGGCGAACGGGUGAGUAAUGCAUCGGAACGUGCCCAGAGGUGGGGGAUAACGCAGCGAAAGCUGUGCUAAUACCGCAUGUGAUCUGAGGAUGAAAGCGGGGGACCAGGCAGCAAUGUUUGGCCUCGCGCCUUUGGAGCGGCCGAUGUCAGAUUAGGUAGUUGGUGGGGUAAAGGCCUACCAAGCCGACGAUCUGUAGCUGGUCUGAGAGGACGACAAGCCACACUGGGACUGAGACACGGCCCAGACUCCUACGGGAGGCAGCAGUGGGGAAUUUUGGACAAUGGGCGCAAGCCUGAUCCAGCAAUGCCGCGUGCGGGAAGAAGGCCUUCGGGUUGUAAACCGCUUUUGUACGGAACGAAAAGGCUCUGGCUAAUACCUGGGGCUGAUGACGGUACCGGAAGAAUAAGCACCGGCUAACUACGUG